AGAGAACUCAUAUACACCCACUUACAAAAAAUCCAAUUUAAUUUUUCGCUGCUCAAGUCACAAAACUAUUGACAAUGAAGACAAACCCGGAUCAAAUAAAACCACAAGGUCCACCCAAAUAAUACGCCUCUAAGAGAAGGAAUUGAACAACAUUGUAAAUGAACCAACACCACCAAAAACGAAACAGGACGUAGAAGAUUAAUUGCCCUUCAUACCUAAAAUAUUGGAAAUGUAAAGCGACAGCUAACUGAGCUCGCCAACCGUUGAAAUCCGACGAACAUAGCGUAAGGCUCGUGUGGUUGUUUGAAGAUAUUCCAAGACGCACGCGCAAAGGUCCACCUGCUCCUUGUCGGUUAUGUGGGUGGUGCUCUUGUCCUGGAAUCUCAGCCUUAUUUCAUUGUGACGAUUAUCGAUAUGAUU